rnacentral:rRNA from 1 species
CACGGGGGGAGCAAGCGUUGUUCGGAAUUACUGGGCGUAAAGCGUGCGCAGGCGGUUUUGUAAGUCUGACGUGAAAUCCCCGGGCUUAACCUGGGAAUUGCGUUGGAGACUGCAAGGCUGGAGUCUGGCAGAGGGGGGUAGAAUUCCACGUGUAGCAGUGAAAUGCGUAGAGAUGUGGAGGAACACCGAUGGCGAAGGCAGGUCUCUGGGCUGACACUGACGCUCAUGCACGAAAGCGUGGGGAGCAAACAGG